rnacentral:siRNA from 1 species
ACGACGACCGUGCAUGGUGAUG